rnacentral:rRNA from 1 species
UAGGGAAUCUUCCGCAAUGGACGCAAGUCUGACGGAGCAACGCCGCGUGAGUGAAGAAGGAUUUCGGUUCGUAAAACUCUGUUGUUAGAGAAGAACAGCGCAUAGAGUAACUGUUAUGCGUGUGACGGUAUCUAACCAGAAAGCCACGGCUAACUACGUGCCAGCAGCCGCGGUAAUACGUAGGUGGCAAGCGUUGUCCGGAUUUAUUGGGCGUAAAGCGAGCGCAGGCGGUCAAUUAAGUCUGAUGUGAAAGCCCCCGGCUCAACCGGGGAGGGUCAUUGGAAACUGGUUGACUUGAGUGCAGAAGAGGAGAGUGGAAUUCCAUGUGUAGCGGUGAAAUGCACAGAGAUAUGGAGGAACACCAGUGGCGAAGGCGACUUUCUGGUCUGUAACUGACGCUGAUGUGCGAAAGCGUGGGGAUCAAACAGG